UACGUAGGGUGCGAGCGUUGUCCGGAAUUAUUGGGCGUAAAGAGCUCGUAGGCGGUUUGUCGCGUCUGCUGUGAAAACUGGAGGCUCAACCUCCAGCCUGCAGUGGGUACGGGCAGACUAGAGUGCGGUAGGGGAGAUUGGAAUUCCUGGUGUAGCGGUGGAAUGCGCAGAUAUCAGGAGGAACACCGGUGGCGAAGGCGGUUCUCUGGGCCUUACCUGACACUGAGGAGCGAAAGCGUGGGGGAGCGAACAGGA
rnacentral:rRNA from 1 species